AUGAACGCUGGCGGCGUGCCUAAUACAUGCAAGUCGAGCGAACGGACGAGAAGCUUGCUUCUCUGAUGUUAGCGGCGGACGGGUGAGUAACACGUGGAUAACCUACCUAUAAGACUGGGAUAACUUCGGGAAACCGUAGCUAAUACCGAUAAUAUUUUGAACCGCAUGGUUCAAAAGUGAAAGACGGUCUUGCUGUCACUUAUAGAUGGAUCCGCGCUGCAUUAGCUAGUUGGUAAGGUAACGGCUUACCAAGGCAACGAUGCAUAGCCGACCUGAGAGGGUGAUCGGCCACACUGGAACUGAGACACGGUCCAGACUCCUACGGGAGGCAGCAGUAGGGAAUCUUCCGCAAUGGGCGAAAGCCUGACGGAGCAACGCCGCGUGAGUGAUGAAGGUCUUCGGAUCGUAAAACUCUGUUAUUAGGGAAGAACAUAUGUGUAAGUAACUGUGCACAUCUUGACGGUACCUAAUCAGAAAGCCACGGCUAACUACGUG
rnacentral:rRNA from 1 species